rnacentral:lncRNA from 1 species
GAUCAUCAGUGGGGUCAUGGGAUGGAUGGAUGACAUGGGUGGGGUCACUGGUGGCAUCAGUGGGAUCAGUGGGAUUUCUGGGAUGGAUGGGAUCAUUGUUGGGAUGGGUGGGAUCAUCAGUGGGGUCAUGAGAUCAGUGGGAUUGCAGGGAUGGAUGGGAUGAUCAGUGAGGUCAUGGGAUCAGUGUGAUCACUGGUGUGGAUGGGAUCAUCACUGGGAUCCAUGGGAUCAGUGGGAUCGUUGGGAUAGGUGGGAUCAUCAAGUGGGGUCAUGAGAUCAGUGGGAUUGCUGGGAUGGAUGGGAUCAUGCAGUGGGGUCAUGGGAUCGAUGGGUGACAUGGGUGGGGUCACCAAUGGGAUCAUCGGUGACAUCAGUGGGAUCAAUAGGAUCACUGGAAUGGAUGGGAACAUCAGUGGGCUGGGUGGGAUCAUCAGUGGGGUCAUGGGAUCGAUGGCUGACAUGGGUGGGAUCAGUGGUGGGAUCAAUGGGAUGGAUGGGAUCAUUGGUGGGGUCAUGGGAUCAUCAGUGGCAUUCAUGGGAUCAGAGGGAUUUCUGGGAUGGAUGGGAUGAUCAGUGAGGUCAUGGGGUAAGUGUGAUCGCUGGUGUGGAUGGGAUCAUCACUGGGAUCCAUGGGGUCAGUGGGAUCAUGGAUGGGAUGGGUGGGAUCAUCAGUGGGCUCAUGGGAUCGGUGGGUGACAUGGGUGGGAUCGUAGGUGGGAUCAAUGGGAUGGAUGGGAUCAUUGGUGGGGUCAUGGGAUCGAUGGAUGACAUGGGUGGGGUCACCAAUGGGAUCAUCGGUGACAUCAGUGGGAUCAAUAGGAUCACUGCAAUGGAUGGGAACAUCAGUGGGUUGGGUGGGAUCAUCAGUGGGGUUAUGGGUUCAA